rnacentral:rRNA from 1 species
AUACGGAAGGUCCGGGCGUUAUCCGGAUUUAUUGGGUUUAAAGGGAGCGCAGGCGGAGAUGCAAGCGUGACGUCAAAUUUCGGGGCUCAACCCCGUCUCGCGUCGCGAACUGCGUCCCUUGGUUGCGGGAAGGGGAGGCGGAACUCGUGGUGUAGCGGUGAAAUGCAUAGAUAUCACGAAGAACUCCGAUCGCGAAGGCAGCCUUCCGGCCCGUCAACGACGCUCAUGCUCGAAGGUGCGGGUAUCAAACAGGAUUAGAUACCCUGGUAGUCCGCACAGUAAACGAUGGACACCCGCGGUUUGGCCUGUAUGGCUGAGCCGUCAAGCGAAAGCGUUAAGUGUCCCACCUGGGGAGUACGCCGGCAACGGUGAAACUCAAAGGAAUUGACGGGG